CCUACGGGAGGCAGCAGUGGGGGAUAUUGCACAAUGGGGGAAACCCUGAUGCAGCGAUGCCGCGUGAAUGAAGACGGCCUUCGGGUUGGAAAGUUUUGUCGCAGGGGACGAAAAUGACGGUACCCUGCAAGAAAGCUCCGGCUAACUACGUGACAGCAGACGCGGAAACAAGGAGGGAGCAAGUGUUAAUCGGAAUUACUGGGCGUAAAGCGGUCGUAGGCGGUAGGUUAAGUCAAGGGUGAAAUCCCCGCGCUCAACGUGGGAACUGCCUUGGAAACUGGCAAACUGGAGUUUGUGAGAGGAUAGUGGAAUUCCAGGUGUAGGAGUGAAAUCCGUAGAUAUCUCGAGGAACAUCGGUGGCGAAGGCGACUAUCUGGCACAUAACUGACGCUGAGGAGCGAAAGCGUGGGUAGCAAACAGGAUUAGAUACCCGUGUAGUC
rnacentral:rRNA from 1 species